GCUCUUCAAAAUGAUAUGCUUAGGGAUAUUAUUCUUCACGUGAUGUGAAGAAGCAAUAGGCGUAAGUACAAUCUACGACUAUACUCCUAAUAGCCUCUGCCUUGCUCUGUUUAUUACCUUCACCAAACCAUUUUCGGAGUUGGCUUCCGUUGCUAUGCCAAGGUCGGCAACAACGGAGCAACGACUUAGGCCACCGACAAAGACGUUAUUCAAGUGUGGUUGAUUUGAGCUGCGAGUGACAAAGAUCAAACGACAAAGAGAUAUUAACUUCAUCAUUUGAAACCAAAUGCAAGAUUGUAAGCUGCUGGUAAGUAGUUUCGAUUUCAAAAACUAAGUUCCACAUUUUGGACAUAGUAAGCACAUAUUUUCUAGUUUUUAUGUGGAAAAUUAGCUUAAUCAUAUUCCAAUGUGCUCACAGUUUCCCCUUUCUGUUUUGUGGUUUCAAAUUCGGUAAUUAAGUCCUCCAUUUUCGAAGCAAAAGCAAAAUUUCUGUUGUGCACAUUCUUCUGGUUUUCCAUUCAAUGUGGGACUUGAGGAAGUUUUUAAUAAAACUUACUAAAAUGACAAGAAUAGCAGAAGCGGUUUUCGUUAUGCUUACAUUCUACUGGUUUUGUGGGUUUAAUGUGCUGCUGUCAUUUUUGUUCCAACCGAAACAGAGCAUUUUUUUAAAACAUUUUUUUUACUCCGUUUUUAUUUUUUUGGCAUUGGUAAUUGCAUAUCCUACAUUUUAUUUAUUUAAUUUUUUUUUUUUUUUUGAGUUGUAUAUUUGUUUAUAAAUUUUGAAAAGUGAUUUGCAAAGUUUGCCUUUAGAAACAUGAUUUCAACGGAAAACCAAACGGAGCCUAAGUUUUUAAAUUAUAAUCGUUAAAAAUUUAUAUACAGUACAACAAAAUAUGAAAAAUCAACCAAUUUUUUGUAUUAACAAAUCUUUGCUGUAUUUAGGCCUCGUUUGGGAACAGGUUAAUUUAGUAAUUUUUUGGCUAUUUGGUUAAAAAGGUAGGUAAAAAAAACUUGUAUGUUUGGAAUGACUUUUUGGCUAAUUAUGAAAAGAUGUGCAAAAAGUAGAGAAAAAAUAGAAUCUUUGACUUUUUGGUAUGAGUUGUUGGCUUUUUGGCUAAUUUAGUAACUUUUUGGCUAAUUAGCGAAAAAAGUAAGUCUCCAAACGGGGCCUUAGUGUAUUAAUGAGCUAAAAAACAUUAUGAUAACAUUUUUAAACAUACAUUUACAAUUUUAAAUGUAAAGUAAAAUUUAUAUUAACUUUAACAGUCAAUGAAAACAGAUUGCAAAUACAAAGUUAUGAACUUCAAGAACUAGAAAAUUACGGAUUGUAAGCAUUUGCAAAUUAGAUGCAUAAUUUUUUCUAAAUAUUAUUCAGAAAAUUUAUUUUGUCACAAAAUUUUGAAACGUUUACACGUACAUACAUAACUUCGUCAGAAAUUGGCGGCAACAAAAUGUACACAAAUUUGUAAUUGAAGUUGGAAAAGUUUGUAAGUUUGUUACGAUUUAUUUUUAAUGUCAAUUUGUGACGAAAUUACGUAUUUUGUGAUUAAUUUUACCAAAUUUUAUGAUAAAUUCACAUAUUUCAUGAUAGGAUAUGCACCCAUAAUUAGGUACAUAUCAAAUUAUGUUUUGAUGCAUAUAUAGCAUGUACAUAUAUACAUAAAAACAAACAUGGUGCAACGUUUGAUGUGACAAUUUUUUAUUUUUGUUUUUUAAUUGUUCAAUGUAUGUAGCCCUCUCUCUCAACUUUUGGAGGGAAAUGUUAAAUUGGAAUAGUGCAUUUUUUUGAAAACCAAACAUAUAUCAAUUGUCAGAACAUAGUUUUCAAAUCACUUUUUGAAAAAAUAAUUUAAAAAAACGAAACCAAUAUGGUGAAUAUAAUUAUUUUGGUUAUCGGUGGAGAAUAACAUUGUCGUAUGUUAAAAAUUGGAUGUGGUUUAGGCGAUUAAACUAUUUGUAAGUCAUGCAUCUCAUGGAAUCAUAUCAUGAAAUUGUGAAUUACAUAUGUUUUGGAAGUAAUUUUGUUUUGAAAAAAGGGUAAAUAAGAUGAUGAAUCUGUGUGGGAGGUGUGGUUGUGGUUAAUUAUGCUUUAUUUCCAGUUAGGAGCCGGUAAAGUGCCUUUGGUAGUGCUUGAGAGCCUUCAAAAGAAGUGUUUGGGAUGUGGUUUUGAAACUCUUGCAUGGUAUUGUUUCAAAAGGAUAAAAACUCAUGUUUUUGGGAAUUGCAUUUCAUAUGCAUUCACCAUAUGGCAUUGUUAACUAUCAUACAUGUUAUUAAAUUAUCCUAUUGAGUUUUAUGCUCAUCAUACGUAGAAGCAACUUUUAGGUAUUGAUAAUAUGCCUCCGUCAAGGUAACAGCUUCGAAGGACCUUGAAGCUAAAUGCUCGUUUUGUUACUUGGUUUUUCUAUAUAGCCUUGGACAUUUGUGUAUUAGACUUAUGUCACACUUCUAUUGUAACCGGGCAAGGCUUUGGAACUUGUAUCAUUUAAGGCAUUAAUUUGUGUUGAUUUAGAUAUUGUUUUCUUUU